CAAUAAGCGGAGGAAAAGAAACCAACAGGGAUUGCCCUAGUAACGGCGAGUGAAGCGGCAACAGCUCAAAUUUGAAAUCUGGCGCAAGCCCGAGUUGUAAUUUGUAGAGGAUGCUUCUGGGUAGCGACCGAUCUAAGUUCCUUGGAACAGGACGUCAUAGAGGGUGAGAAUCCCGUAUGUGACCGGCCCGCACCCUUUACGUAGCUCCUUCGACGAGUCGAGUUGUUUGGGAAUGCAGCUCUAAAUGGGAGGUAAAUUUCUUCUAAAGCUAAAUACCGGCCAGAGACCGAUAGCGCACAAGUAGAGUGAUCGAAAGAUGAAAAGUACUUUGGAAAGAGAGUUAAAAAGCACGUGAAAUUGUUGAAAGGGAAGCGCCUGCAACCAGACUUCGCGGCAGUGUUCCGCCGGUCUUCUGACCGGUUCAUUCUCUGUCGCGAGGCCAUCAUCGUCUGGGCCCGCCGGAUAAGACCUGAGGAAUGUGGCUCCCCCUCGGGGGAGUGUUAUAGCCUCUGGUGAUGCGGCGUGGCUCGGGCGAGGUCCGCGCUUCGGCAAGGAUGAUGGCGUAAUGGUUGUCGGCGGCCCGUCUUGAAACACGGACCAAGGAGUCUAACAUCUAUGCG
rnacentral:rRNA from 1 species